AACGAACGCUGGCGGCAUGCCUAACACAUGCAAGUCGAACGAGACCUUCGGGUCUAGUGGCGCACGGGUGCGUAACGCGUGGGAACCUGCCCUUAGGUUCGGAAUAACUCCCCGAAAGGGGUGCUAAUACCGGAUAAUGUCUUCGGACCAAAGAUCUAUCGCCUUUGGAUGGGCCCGCGUUGGUUUAGCUAGUUGGUAGGGUAAAAGCCUGCCAAGGCGACGAUCCAUAGCUGGUCUGAGAGGAUGAUCAGCCACACUGGGGCUGAGACACGGCCCAGACUGCUACGGGAGGCAGCGGUGGGGAGUAUUAGACGAUGGGCGAAAGCCUAGUCCAGCAAUGCCGGGUGAGUGGUGAAGGGCUUAGGAUUGUAAAGCUCUUUUACCCGGGGUGUUAAUGACGGUACCGGGAGAAUAAGCACCGGCUAACUCCGUG
rnacentral:rRNA from 1 species